CCGGCGGUCCCGGCAGCGGCGGUAAAAGCUGCUCGCUGGAGCCUCCUGGCGGUGACCGAAGGGCUGCUCGGCGGCGGCAGCUGGUGACCGGCGGCGUUGGGAGAUAACCCCGCGCUGCAGGAGUGCUGGGGGGGGCCGCCGCUGGGGGGUUACUUCGGGUCUCCCUCAGUCCUAGCGCUUCAGGCAGUGCCUCUACAUUGAAGUACCUUUCUCUUAAGCUGUGUCUCACUUGUCUAGUCUGGCAGUGCUCCUUGAUAAUAGUGCUACUGACCUCUCGGUCUCCAUCUGGCUUGUGCAAUCGCACGAAAGCAUGGCAGGUUUAGAUGCACUAUUCCGGAAGGAUGUCAAACCCGUUUCUAAAUUAUUCAGAUUUGGGGGGAGGGGGAUGAGACAACUUGCUUUUAGUCUGCCCUUCUACAGAGAAAUGUCUAUAGGUCAACAGCUGUAGUUUGUUUAGCAUUGAUAUUGUAUCUGUGUCCUCUGGGAACUGAUCUGUCAUGUUUGCUUGGUAGAGGUUAAUUACUUUAUGUUGUUAUAACGUCUAUAUCUCAAUAUAGGAGUGUGGGAUCUCUCAUCUUGCUCAGCUCUGUACUUGGAGCAAAGACAGCCACUGCCCCAGGGAACUUCCAGUCCAGAUCUAGGAAAGAGGUCGCAGGCUUUGUGCCAGAAGAGUGUUAUGGAUAGAUGCAGAAGGUAACUGGAAAACUACAGACUUCAAGCUGUCAUUUAGAGUCCUGUUUCCUUAUCAAUGGAGGAAGAUGGGAGAAGUGCAAGGGUAAUGGUCUGUCUGGAGGACCUCAGUCAGUGUAGACACAACAUCUCUGUAUGAAUGUCCUCUCCUCCCACUGACAUAGGAGAAUGAGGGUCAAGAGCAAAACAGACCUUUGCAUGGGGAGGAAGAUCGAGGAGGAAGGCUGACGGCUCUAUGAGGAGACCUAGGCUUUUCCUGUGGGUUUCACAUGAACAACUUUUUGCCAGUCAUGACUCUGCAUGUCCUGUACCUAAGCUGAUAAAGCAUGUAUGCACUUUAAUGUCAAGUCUAUGCCACUCCAUUAAUACAGUGUGAGCUGUACCUUAAACCUUGGAUAUAAAGACCUACAAACCAAA
rnacentral:lncRNA from 1 species